CGACAUACACCGCUGCGGGAACAUACGCAGGACACAAGAUGGCGCCUUCGAGCCGCAAGACCGCCGACCUGUCGAAGGCGAGGCUUCAUUCUGGCUGCGCUGCCGGUACUCCAGUCUCCGCCGCCGGUUGCAUCUUGGGUAAUGUAGUCCCCGGGAUCUGACAAGGAAGACAAGACAUGCAAAUAAAGAAGGAAUCUCUGAUCCUGCUUUAAUGAUUAAUAUGAAUUACGUCAACUUAUGGAAACAAAAAACAUUUUGACAACGAUGCGAUGUUGGUUCCUCAUAUUGCAGAAAUGAUUGGGUUUUUUCAUCAAAACAUUUGUUUGAUGAUCCAAUAAUCUUUAUUUUGGACUGUUUUAGUGGAUCCUAUAACAGCAUCUGUUUAUAUAUGACAUAAUCUAUAUAAGCUGUAGUUAUCAUGGGUCCAUAACUGGCGAUUGACAGAUACAAAAAAACGAAUGGAAAGACUUUCUAUUUAACUUGGAAAUCCAGAAAUAAGAAUAAUUAACAAUCAACAAAAAGACAAAUUAAUAAUCAGACAAAUCCAAACAAAAGAUAACACUCAAUUCUGUGAUGCACGAAUGAAAGCACGGUUAUACUCCCGUCUCCAGAGGACCCUGGUGCCUUCUGACCUUUGACCUCUGGAGAGAAUGAGGGGGAGUUGCUGUUCCCAAAGUGGGCCGGUUGUCUUCCAUCUGUCCCUCGGGGCCCCUCUGACAGAUCCUUUAAAACACGACGCGCUCAGCCAGCGGCCUCCUGGAUGCUAUGACGCUAAUCAUGCUAAUAACAAAUACAACGUGCAAGAAAACAUAUUGAGACGAGUUAAGAGGUCAAAGGUCAGCCAGCAAGCAACGCCCCCUCGCCGCCUCCCCAGCUGUCACGCGCACACACACACAUCCCUGAGAUUAGUUAAGGGGAAGCAGACUGCAACAGUCAGCUGCUUUAAAAUGUGUUGGUACAUUUAAUAUUCAUGAGUUUCAUACAUCAUUGUCUGGAGUUUCUG